rnacentral:rRNA from 1 species
CCUACGGGAGGCAGCAGUGGGGAAUAUUGGGCAAUGGGCGCAAGCCUGACCCAGCAACGCCGCGUGAAGGAAGAAGGCUUUCGGGUUGUAAACUUCUUUUCCCAGGGACGAAGCAAGUGACGGUACCUGAGGAAUAAGCCACGGCUAACUACGUGCCAGCAGCCGCGGUAAUACGUAGGUGGCAAGCGUUAUCCGGAUUUACUGGGUGUAAAGGGCGUGUAGGCGGGAAAGCAAGUCAGAUGUGAAAACCAUGGGCUCAACCUGUGGCCUACAUUUGAAACUGUUUUUCUUGAGUACUGGAGAGGCAGACGGAAUUCCUAGUGUAGCGGUGAAAUGCGUAGAUAUUAGGAGGAACACCAGUGGCGAAGGCGGUCUGCUGGACAGCGACUGACGCUGAGGCGCGAAAGCGUGGGGAGCAAACAGGAUUAGAUACCCUUGUAGUC